AUUUGAAUCACUGAGCUCUCUGAAAGGCUGAACCCUCUUGAAGCCUUCCUUCUGGGAAAGAAGAAACACUGACGUCUCCCGCAGAAAUCCCGUAAGUGCAGAGCCAGUUUUGUAGAGAUUGGUAUAGCAGAGCACAUUCUAAAACCCAAAAUGUUGCAUCAAGUGGAAGCCCUCUCUAACAGAAACUCAUGGAGAAACCAGCAAAAGCUCGUGAAAGCCUCCUGCUGCACCAAAACCCAGCAUUGCCUCCAUGAAGUACUUCGUACCUGACCACAGUUAAAAACCAGUCUGACUUCAAAGCAGAGAUAAAGG
rnacentral:lncRNA from 1 species